GACGUAGGGCGCGAGCGUUGUCCGGAUUUAUUGGGCGUAAAGAGCUCGUAGGCGGCUUGUCGCGUCGAAUGUGAAAACUCGGGGCUCAACUCCGAGCUUGCAUUCGAUACGGGCAGGCUAGAGUUCGGUAGGGGAGACUGGAAUUCCUGGUGUAGCGGUGAAAUGCGUAGAUAUCGGGAGGAACACCAGUGGCGAAGGCGACUUCCUGGCCUGUUCUUGACGCUGAGGCGCGAAAGCUAGGGGAGCAAACGGG
rnacentral:rRNA from 1 species